rnacentral:rRNA from 1 species
GUAAGUUCCGACCUGCACGAAUGGUGUAACGAUCUGGACACUGUCUCAGCCAUGAGCUCGGUGAAAUUGUAGUAUCGGUGAAGAUGCCGAUUACCCGCAGUGGGACGAAAAGACCCUGUGCACCUUUACUAUAGCUUAGUAUUGACCUUGGAUAAGUGAUGUGUAGGAUAGGUGGGAGACUAUGAAGUGGCGUCGCCAGGCGUUGUGGAGUCAUUGUUGAAAUACCACCCUUUACUUG